AUGGACAAGGGGUCGAUCCCGUCGGAGAAUGAAGACUUGGUAGACGCUCUCCGUCGUCACCGUGAGAUCCUGAGAUGGGAGACGGAUCUCCUGAGGAUGGAGAUCACGUCCCGGGAUCUGGCGACGAUGACCGGAAAGAAGGCUUAUCUAAAGCGCCAUCAUGCCGCCAGCGAUGGGAGAUCAAUAUCACCUCAGUUGGUCGAUCACAUGUCCCUCCACAGGAUCAAAGAAAUCAAACCGGUGAGUUUGCCCUACCUGGUGGAUAAUCAUCAAGAAGCCCUGGAUCUGCUCUUGCACGAGGCGCACAAAUUGGCCUACCGGAUCCAUUCUCUGAGGAAAGAAUUCAGUGCCACCAUCCCCUUGGAGAAGCUCAGAUUAUUCCAUCUCCUGUCGCAAGAAUGUCUGAGGAUCUCCAAAACCAUAGCCACGCAUGGAUCGCCAAUUUCUUGUGAAUCUUCUGAGGAUGCUGAAAUUUCUCUUUUCAAAGAGCGUCGUAACGGCUGGGAAUCUACUUGGGGCAGUCCGGUGUUACGGUGUGGCAGCUUCAAUGAUAUAACCACACUGUCCCCUAUGUACUAUACGCACUCUGCACCUCGUGUCAUUGAAUCCUCUCGUUACAUCACCAAGGCCUUGCAGAUCUACUCCUUCAAAAUCUUUGACCUAAAUGAGAACUUGAAGUGGCCACUCUAUGUGUACGGUGUGGUGGCUGCUCGAGACGCUGUGGACUUUAACCGCAACCUUCUCUUCUCCUGCUCCAGGGCUAACUGCCAAGUAGUCACAGAAAAGGAUCCUUUUUUGCACCUGACUGGCCCUUCUCGUGCAAUUGUCGCUGACGAACCUGUUGACUUCGAAGUCGAGCUAAAGAUAAAAUUUGGAACAGAUCAGUCCCAGGAUAUAGCAUUGAUCAGUGCUACUAACCACUACUCUGGAGGUGAUGCUGCUUUUUUCUCUGGCCGCUCUUGUUCGGCAACAUUGAGGCUUGAGACAGUUCCUAGAGCGGCCCAGGCAACUAUAUUGUCUAUUCGAGUGGUUGGAGGAGUGUCUCUUUUCGAAUUUGGAGGCCGGGUUGCUUGCUCGUUCUCUACUGAAGAGUAUGUUGAUCCCACAUGCGAGCAAGUUGUGCUGGUUGAGUCUGCUGAAAAGAUUCCUGAGGAUGAUGGUUACCUUACACUGUCAAGGAAGGUUGUUACGGCAGGACUACAAGGAGGAUUGCAAGUUGCCAUACAAGCCUAUGGGGGAUCUGACCGUCCAUCCGUAUCCGGUCUUCUUUACUUCCCUUCCCAGUAUUGCAGGGUAAGUCGGCGCACAUGCUUGGUCGGUGGCUUUGAGGUGGAGGUAACUGUUGCUUGGUCGUGGUUUGUACAGGACAAGAUGGAAAUCUUGUGA
rnacentral:rRNA from 1 species